AUAUUGUAACAGGUCAAAAUGAACUGUUUAUUGAAAAUUCAUAUAUUUUCAUUACUCUUAAUAAUUCGUCUGUAAGUAAUAGAUGCCUUUAGAGGAAGUGCACAAGAAGUAGUAAAAAAAUAGAAAUGUUAAACAAUCUUCAUGCUUUUUAGGAAGUAUGAUUCACACUCUUUCUGGGUAAGAGUGAUGCUGAAUGGUCUUUGGGUCAAAACAUCACAUUCCAGAGCUAUGAGCUUGUAUGACGUAGAUCAUUAUGGUCAAGGCUUAGCAUCUGUGAAUGGAGAGUGAUGACUGCAUAAAAGGGAGAGAGGAGUUUGCUCCAAUUCACUCCUGCACUGCACCCCAUUCAUGGGGCAGGCAGAGAGGCUUCUUCAUUUUCGGGUCAGAAUUAUAGGUAUUUGACAUGACAUUCGUGUAGCGGGUGAGGCUAUCACGAGAGGAAAUAAUAUGGUCCUCUAGGCCAGAUUGCCAGGG